UUCGCAUCGAGGGUACACGAUGGACAUCUCGAGCAGCCUGAGAGGAGGUGGAGGCCUAGGAGAGGCAUCGGGCAUCGGCGUACUUAACACUUCUGAAAAUAUCCACGCAGGAAGGAGUAUCUUCGCAUCGAGGAAACAGUAACUGACAUCCCGAGCAGCCUGAGAGGAGGUGGAGGCCUAGGAGGAGGCAUCAGGCGCCGGCGGAGCAACAAGCGAAUCAUCGUAGCGACGUUGCAGAAUAACUCCGCUGUUGCGCAUCGGUCGGUGAGUGAUGAUUAAAAUUUCAUAAUUGAGGUAAUGAAUUUAUGACAAUUACGUCAAAUAUAUUGCGGUGUCAAGUUAUCACAAUAAAUUAUUACAUAUAUUACGUUUCAUAGAUUCGUUGUCUUAAAAUGGUAUGACUGGGUCAGAUU